AUAUUUAUGGUUUAAAAAAUUUAUAUAAAAAUUAUUUUACAUAUAAAUUUUAGUAUUAUAUAUAAUAUAUUUUAAUAAUAAUUAUAUAAGUAGUAAUUAAUAUUAAUAAAUUUAAGAAAUUAAGAUUUAGUAUUUUAAAAAUUAUAAACUAAAUUUGUGCCAGCAGUUGCGGUUAUACAAAUUAUGAAUUGAAUUCUUUUAGUUAUUAAUAAUUAAAUAAUAAAGUUUAAAUUAAAAAAUAAAUUAUUAAGUGAAAUUUUAAUUUAAAAAUAAUUUAUUUUAAAGAAUUAAUAAAUUUUUUUAAUAAACUAGGAUUAGAUACCCUAUUAUUCAAAAUUUAAAUUAUAAUACUAAAUUAUUAAAUAAUUAUUUAUUGAAAUUUAAAUAAUUUGGCGGUAUUUUAGUUUAUUUAGAGGAAUCUGUUUAUUAAUUGAUAAUCCACGAAUAAAUUUACUUAAAUUAAAAAUUUAUAUAUCGUUGUUAUAAAAAUAUUAUUAAAAUAAAUUAAUAUUUUAAAUUUUUAAAUAAAAUUUAAAUCAGAUCAAGAUGUAGUUUAUAUUUAAGAAUAUAAUGGAUUACAAUAAAAUUAUUUUUGGAUAUUUAAUUGGAAUAUUAAAUUAAAAUUGGAUUUAAAUGUAAUUUUAUUUAAUUUUUUAAAAUGAUUAAAAAUUAAAAUAUGUACAUAUUGCCCGUCACUUUCAUAAACAAAUUGAAAUAAGUCGUAACAAAGUAGAGGUACUGGAAAGUGUUUCUAGAAAGAU
rnacentral:ncRNA from 1 species